AGGACUCUGGGCUCGGCUUCUCCUCCUCCACCCGCCCUUUUGUCUGAGGGACCCGGGAUUUUGCUUUUCCCUUAUAGAAAUGGUGGAGUCAGUGAAGAAAUUAGCAGGGAUGGAUGUGGAGCUGACAGCUGAAGAAAGAAACCUCCUAUCUGUUACAUAUAAGAAUGUGAUUGGAGCUAGAAGAGCCUCCUGGAGAAUAAUCAGCAGCCUUGAACAGAAAGAAGGAACAAGGGAGGAGAAGACAAGCUAAAAAUGAUUCGGAAAUACCGGCAAAUGGUCAUGGAGAAUAUCUCUGAUUUUCCCUGCAGCUGUGUCAGAAGUCACCAGCUUUGGAGAAGCCAUGGAAAGAUCCACCCCAGAAGAAAAAGCCUAUUGAUAAACCAUUUAAAACUGAAUAAAUGGAAGUCCGCUAUGCAGUCUAUCAACUAUUAUAUUCAAGUUUUUCUAUU
rnacentral:lncRNA from 1 species